UGAUCACUUCGGUGAGACGUAAAGCAUAUGGCUAGAGUGGCGAACGGGUGAGUAACACGUGGACAACCUGCCUCUAAGCAGGGGAUAACAUUUGGAAACAGAUGCUAAUACCGUAUAACAACACAUUUCGCAUGAAGUGUGUUUAAAAGGGGCUUCGGCCUCACUUAGAGAUGGAUCCGCGGUGCAUUAGUUAGUUGGUGAGGUAAAGGCUUACCAAGACGAUGAUGCAUAGCCGAGUUGAGAGACUGAUCGGCCACAUUGGGACUGAGACACGGCCCAAACUCCUACGGGAGGCUGCAGUAGGGAAUCUUCCACAAUGGGCGCAAGCCUGAUGGAGCAACGCCGCGUGCGUGAUGAAGGCUUUCGGGUCGUAAAGCACUGUUGUAUGGGAAGAAUAGUUAAUGUAGGAAAUGAUGUUAAUGUGACGGUACCAUACCAGAAAGGGACGGCUAAAUACGUGCCAGCAGCCGCGGUAAUACGUAUGUCCCGAGCGUUAUCCGGAUUUAUUGGGCGUAAAGCGAGCGCAGACGGUUCGUUAAGUCUGAAGUGAAAGCCCACAGCUCAACUGUGGAAUGGCUUUGGAAACUGGCGAACUUGAGUGCAGUAGAGGCAAGUGGAACUCCAUGUGUAGCGGUGGAAUGCGUAGAUAUAUGGAAGAACACCAGUGGCGAAGGCGGCUUGCUGGACUGUAACUGACGUUGAGGCUCGAAAGUGUGGGUAGCAAACAGGAUUAGAUACCCUGGUAGUCCACACCGUAAACGAUGAGUGCUAGGUGUUAGGAGGUUUCCGCCUCUUAGUGCCGGAGCUAACGCAUAAGCACUCCGCCUGG
rnacentral:rRNA from 1 species